rnacentral:rRNA from 1 species
AUUGAACGCUGGCGGCAUGCUUUACACAUGCAAGUCGAACGGUAACAGGUUAAGCUGACGAGUGGCGAACGGGUGAGUAAUGCAUCGGAACGUGCCCGAUCGUGGGGGAUAACGCAGCGAAAGCUGCGCUAAUACCGCAUACGAUCUGAGGAUGAAAGCGGGGGACCGUAAGGCCUCGCGCGAUCGGAGCGGCCGAUGUCAGAUUAGGUAGUUGGUUGGGUAAAGGCUCACCAAGCCGACGAUCUGUAGCUGGUCUGAGAGGACGACCAGCCACACUGGGACUGAGACACGGCCCAGACUCCUACGGGAGGCAGCAGUGGGGAAUUUUGGACAAUGGGCGAAAGCCUGAUCCAGCAAUGCCGCGUGCAGGAAGAAGGCCUUCGGGUUGUAAACUGCUUUUGUACGGAGCGAAAAGGCUCUCUCUAAUACAGGGGGCUCAUGACGGUACCGUAAGAAUAAGCACCGGCUAACUACGUGCCAGCCGCCGCGGUAACAC